rnacentral:tRNA from 1 species
AGUGGUUAAAGCAAUAGGCUGCAAAGCAAUAGGCUGCUAACCAAAUGGUUGGUGGUUCGAACCCACCAGCCACUC